rnacentral:rRNA from 1 species
UACGGAGGGUGCAAGCGUUAAUCGGAAUUAUUGGGCGUAAAGCGCACGCAGGCGGUUUUUUAAGUCAGAUGUGAAAUCCCCUGGCUCAACCUGGGAACUGCAUUUGAAACUGGCAAGCUUGAGUCUGGUAGAGGGAGGUAGAAUUCCAGGUGUAGCGGUGAAAUGCGUAGAGAUCUGGAGGAAUACCGGUGGCGAAGGCGGCCCCCUGGACGAAGACUGACGCUGAGGUGCGAAAGCGUGGGUAGCAAACAGG